UCCAUAAUCACCACCCACCUACCACUAGCUACCAGCAUGGCCUCCCUCUCCUCUGCCGCCGUGACCGCCCCUUCCUUCGCCGCUGCCCGGCCCGCCCGCGCCGCCGUUGCCAGCCGACGGUCGUCUGUGGUGGUGCGCGCCUCGCUCGGCAAGGCCGCCGGCACCGCCGCCGUGGCCGUGGCUGCCAGCGCCCUGCUUGCCGGCGGCGCCAUGGCCCAGGAGGUGCUCCUGGGCGCCAACGGAGGCGUGCUCGUCUUCGAGCCCAGCGAGUUCUCCGUCAAGGCCGGCGACACCAUCACCUUCAAGAACAACGCCGGCUACCCGCACAACGUGGUCUUCGACGAGGACGAGGUGCCCAGCGGGGUGGACGCCGCCAAGAUCUCGCAGGAGGAGUACCUCAACGCGCCGGGGGAGACCUACUCCGUCACCCUCACCGUGCCGGGAACCUACAGCUUCUACUGCGAGCCGCACCAAGGAGCAGGGAUGGUCGGCAAGGUCAC
rnacentral:lncRNA from 1 species